CCAGAAAUGACGGACAUUGUGCAAGCGUACCAGUCGGUCAGCGGCUUUUCCGUUUAUCCACAAGAAUUCCUAAUUAUCCUUUUACGACCUAUCAAAGCAUCCGGAAUUUCAAAUAUUCGCGUGGGUGUUGUUUAUAAAGCAAAUCAUGAAGUAUGCACUCAAGUUGUGGCCUUUGGUUUACCAGGCUCAGGGUGUAGCUAAGCAAUGACUACGGGAACGAAAAGAGAAGCUUUCGACGAGUAUUUUGGUACCAAACAUGUAGCAAGGCAAUCAAUAUAUAUAGUUUGGCAAGCGAAUGGAAUAUCACUUUUUGACCGCGAAGUAAUAUUGUAAUAUGCAUAUUAACGCACCGGCUUGCGAAUUUCAAAACAAAAAAGCAGAGCUUUUAUCGGGUGUAACAAAAUAAUAUACGGCGGAAGGCAAGGCUAUACUAUUCGUCAAAAUAAAAUGAUUUCAACAAAUUUCGAUAAUUGAAUAUAUUACGAGAUAUAGCCUUUUGAGCGAGAAACCUUUAUAGAUUCCUAUGUAAAGUGAGGUAAAAUGUUGUAAUAUUCAAUCGCAAAAAGCAGAGCGAGUAUGCAAAGAAAUGAGAACUUUUUUUCUUAAUGUGUUACUAUACCACCCAUACUUCUGGA